UGCAGCCACAUUCAGUCCUAACUGUUGUGUAUUCCUAUAUCAACUUAUUUACUCUCGCAGUAAAAUAAUGAGAGAGGACCUAAUAGUAUGCCCCUUUACAGGUGGAAAAAGUGAAAUGCCAUGAUCUUAGCUAAUUUUCUUAUGGCUCCAUGGCAGUAAAUUGCAGACCUAUGAUUAAAGUCCUGGCUGUGAAACACGCAUUCUUGAAUUCAUGCUGUGAUUCUUAGAUAAAUAGUGCCUGCAUACUCAGUCACGCAGUCAUGUCCGACUCUUUACAACCCCACAGACUACAGCCCACCAGGCUCCUCUGUCUGGGAUUUCCUAGGCAAGAAUACUGAAGUGGGCUGCCAUUUCCUCCUCAAAGGGCUCUUCUAGACCUUAGGAUCGAACCCGUGUCUCCUACACUGGCACGUGUUUAUUUACCAUUGAGUCACCUGGGAAUCCCAGAUACAUAGUAGAUGUUACUAUCACUUUGUUAUUAUUUUUAAAAUACUAAUUUCUCCUCUCCAAAUGGAUGGUAUUUUCCUAUGAGCCAUUUAUUAUUUAGACUCUUCUAGAUUAUUGAGUAUCUAAAUAAAAACUCAAUUUUCUGUUAAUCGUUUUCAAAUGUCACAGUUUUCACUAACAAGUUAUUAGACAGCUUCAUGCACUUUAAUUUCCUCUGAAAAGAAAUCCACUGCCACCUUUAUAAAAGACUAACAUUCCAAGUACAGGUUUUGAAUGCUAAUGCCCUACCUUAACAACUGGGCUAAGCUCUGAUUUUCACAUGUGUUGCAAUUUCUCUCCCAUUGUAGUGUAAGGGCAUUUCACAUAGUUUUGAUAUAUCGUAUAAAUUAGGCCAACAAAGUGCUGUGCUAUGUCUUCAUUAAAAUAGGAGACGGUAAUAAUGCAACCAUGUAGCGUGGUCUUGCAGCCUUUGAAUUAUGAACAUUCAAUAGUGUCUCCUUACUUGUGCUUAAGUUGGCAUUUGUGA
rnacentral:lncRNA from 1 species